rnacentral:rRNA from 1 species
AGAGGUGUAUCUGUGGAACCACCCGAUCCCAUCCCGAACUCGGAAGUGAAACGCAGCUGCGCCGAUGGUAGUGUGGCUCAAGCCAUGCGAGAGUAGGUCAUCGC